AGCUGGUCUAAUGGUAGUAGGUUAUCAGAACUUAUUAACAUUAGUGUCACUAAAGUUGAUACAGAACUCCCCCACACCCACACUGCUAAAUUUGAUGGGCUUUUU
rnacentral:Y_RNA from 1 species